AAAAUAUAUUUUAUAAACAAGGUUGUUAGGGUGAACACCGUUUUCCCUAAAACCAUCUAAUGAGCCCGUCAAAAUUAACAACUUUUUCUAUGAGAACAAUGCUGGGAAUUUA